rnacentral:rRNA from 1 species
GACGAACGCUGGCGGCGUGCUUAACACAUGCAAGUCGAACGAAGAGCGAUGGAAGUUUGUUUUCAUCAAUUUUAGUCGCGAACGGGAGUGUAACGUGUAAUCACCCCGUCCUUCAGUGGGGGAACACAGUGGGAAAGGACUGCUAAUACCGCAUACGAUUUAAUCUCGGCAUCGAGGAUAGAAGAACGGUUUUCUUUACAUGUAUGCUAUCAUCGACGCAGGGGAUUGCGUCUGAUUAGCUAGUUGGGGGGGUAACGGACCAACAAGGCGAUGCUUGGUAGCCCGACUGGAGGGAGUGACCGCCCACUUGGGACUGAGACACGGCCCAGGCUCCUACGGGGAGCAGCAAUGGGGAAUCUUCCGGAAUGGACGGAAGUCUGGCGGGACAACGCCGCGUGGGUGAUGACAGGCCUCGGGUUGUAAAGCUCUGUUUAUCGGGGCGAAAGACCUUCUUGCGAAAAGUUAGAAGGAUUGACGGUACCGAAAUAGAAAGCCACGGCUAACUACGUG